ACUGAAUGUAGAGACCUGGUCCCCUCUCC
rnacentral:piRNA from 1 species